rnacentral:rRNA from 1 species
AUACAACUUUCAGCAACGGAUCUCUUGGCUCUCGCAUCGAUGAAGAACGCAGCGAAAUGCGAUAAGUAAUGUGAAUUGCAGAAUUCAGUGAAUCAUCGAAUCUUUGAACGCACCUUGCGCUCCUUGGUAUUCCGAGGAGCAUGCCUGUUUGAGUGUCAUGGAAUUCUCAACCCACACGUCCUUGUGAUGUGGACGGGCUUGGACUUU